UACAGAGGGUGCAAGCGUUGUUCGGAAUUAUUGGGCGUAAAGGGCGCGUAGGCGGUGCUGUAAGUCUGUGGUGAAAUCUCUGGGCUCAACUCAGAGUCUGCCAUAGAAACUGCAGUGCUGGAGUGUGGGAGAGGUGAGUGGAAUUCCCGGUGAAGCGGUGAAAUGCGUAGAUAUCGGGAGGAACACCUGUGGCGAAAGCGGCUCACUGGACCACAACUGACGCUGAGGCGCGAAAGCUAGGGGAGCAAACAGG
rnacentral:rRNA from 1 species